rnacentral:rRNA from 1 species
GACGAACGCUGGCGGCGUGCCUAAUACAUGCAAGUCGAGCGGAUCUUCAUUAGCUUGCUUUUGAAGAUCAGCGGCGGACGGGUGAGUAACACGUGGGCAACCUGCCUGUAAGACUGGGAUAACUUCGGGAAACCGGAGCUAAUACCGGAUAAUCCUUUCCCUCACAUGAGGGAAAGCUGAAAGACGGUUUCAGCUGUCACUUACAGAUGGGCCCGCGGCGCAUUCGCUAGUUGGUGAGGUAAUGGCUCACCAAGGCGACGAUGCGUAGCCGACCUGAGAGGGUGAUCGGCCACACUGGGACUGAGACACGGCCCAGACUCCUACGGGAGGCAGCAGUAGGGAAUCUUCCGCAAUGGACGAAAGUCUGACGGAGCAACGCCGCGUGAACGAUGAAGGCCUUCGGGUCGUAAAGUUCUGUUGUCAGGGAAGAACAAGUACCGGAGUAACUGCCGGUACCUUGACGGUACCUGACCAGAAAGCCACGGCUAACUACGUGCCAGCCGCCGCAGUAAUAC